rnacentral:rRNA from 1 species
GGCUCAGAUUGAACGCUGGCGGCAUGCCUUACACAUGCAAGUCGAACGGCAGCGGGCCUUCGGGUGCCGGCGAGUGGCGAACGGGUGGGUAAUGCAUCGGAACGUGCCAUUGAGUGGGGAUAACGUAGCGAAAGUUGCGCUAAUACCGCAUAUUCUGUGAGCAGGAAAGCAGGGGACCGCAAGGCCUUGCGCUCUUUGAGCGGCCGAUGUCAGAUUAGCUAGUUGGUGAGGUAAAGGCCUACCAAGCCUUCGAUCUGUAGCUGGUCUGAGAGGACGACCAGCCACACUGGAACUGAGACACGGUCCAGACUCCUACGGGAGGCAGCAGUGGGGAAUUUUGGACAAUGGGCGCAAGCCUGAUCCAGCAAUGCCGCGUGCAGGAUGAAGGCCUUCGGGUUGUAAACUGCUUUUGUACGGAACGAAACGGCUCUUUCUAAUAAAGGGAGCUAAUGACGGUACCGUAAGAAUAAGCACCGGCUAACUACGUG